rnacentral:rRNA from 1 species
GACAUAGGGGGCAAGCGUUGUCCGGAAUCACUGGGCGUAAAGAGAGCGUAGGCGGUUAAUUAAGUUAAGUGUGAAAGCCUGGGGCUUAACCCCAGAACUGCACUUAAUACUGGUUGACUAGAGUGUUGGAGAGGUAAGUGGAAUUCCUAGUGUAGCGGUAGAAUGCGUAGAUAUUAGGAGGAACAUCAGAGGCGAAGGCGGCUUACUGGACAACAACUGACGCUGAGGCUCGAAAGCGUGGGGAGCAAAC